ncrna:Nicotiana tabacum cultivar TN90 Ntab-TN90_scaffold2074, whole genome shotgun sequence
AUUCCACUAUGUUGACACUUUCUAACAAACUCCUUAAACCUCUCUCAUGCUUCAAAAAAAGUUUCAUUCUCUUUCUGGCAGAAGUUAUAGAUUUCUCUUCUAAACUU